GACGUAGGGCGCGAGCGUUGUCCGGAUUUAUUGGGCGUAAAGAGCUCGUAGGCGGCUUGUCGCGUCGACUGUGAAAUCCCGCGGCUCAACCGCGGGUCUGCAGUCGAUACGGGCAGGCUAGAGUUCGGUAGGGGAGACUGGAAUUCCUGGUGUAGCGGUGAAAUGCGCAGAUAUCAGGAGGAACACCGGUGGCGAAGGCGGCACUCUGGGCCGGUACUGACGCUGAGGAGCGAAAGCGUGGGGAGCGAACAGG
rnacentral:rRNA from 1 species